UCCAAUAGAAAGCGCAAUGUGGAAAUGUGGGAUAGCGGUUCGCCAACACACAUGUGUUUAUAUGAACUUAAGCAAGCAUGGAUUUUCUCCAAUUUUCUCAUCAUAGUGCUUGUCCAGGAGCUUGCCUGAGCCCUUGCAAUUUUAUUUAUUUCGCGUGCUCCCUGUGCAUAGUAGUGAAGAGGAGCGGUGCAUGUCCACAAUACAAAGAAAUUGAGCCAUAAUAUCAGGCAGGCCUCGAACGACAUCACCACCAGGAAAUUAUAAUUGUUUUACAAGAGCUCCUCAACAAUUUCCAAGGAUAUAUGUUUCCUCAAUCUUAGAGACACAGCAAAAUGUCUAAGCAAUUGGGAAUAUGCAACAACAAUCAAAAGUAGCCUAGAAGCUCGCACCUUAUUUUGGCAAGCAAGCCGCAAGAGAACCAAAGGACAUGCCACAUCUGCAGAACAAAACUGCACAUUAAGGGGAGGAAUCAUCUCCUGUUGUCUCUGAAGUGCCUCAGAUGGAAGCGUAAGCUGGAGCAUAGAAUGCUGCCGACAGCUGGCAGGCAGACAGGUAGAAGGCAGACAACAUCAUGGAUAAAAUAGCAUACACACAGGCAAGCUGGUGGGCAAGGUCCAUGAUGACGAGAGCCUGUGCUUGGGCACAACAACAACAACAGGGCAUAACGUAACACACACUUCUUGUUGUGCCCAAGCUCAGGCUUUCGUCGUCAUGGCUGACGUGUUUUUAUAGCUGACAUAUGGUGCACUUUUUUUCCAUCUAUGACACGUGGGACAUGCCAGCAGUGGAAGAGCAUUCUUCUUAUGCACACAGAAAAAAAAAAAAAAAAAAGAAAGGUACUGCAAAAUCACAGACUGGUGCCUAGUUGUCAGUUCUCGAAAUUUGCCUUUGCUUUUCUUAACAUGAAACGUGUGUAGUGAAGUGUGCUAAUUACACACUUUUCUACACAAUGUUUUUUUCUGUUGUGAUUUGCUAACAAGCUACAAGGGCUGCAUUUGUGCCACUAAGGGAUACAGAAUAUCAGUACCUAUAUUGUCUUUAUGGAACUGCAGCGUACAAAUCAGUCAUCUACACACUAGCAACUUUCUUAGUUCUGUUAUGGUGCUUUGUUCUAAACUUCUAUGUGCACGUUAUGUAUGUUGCAUCUGUGUUUGCAUUGUGUCUGUUUGGCAUUUCUCGUACUGUUUGUUGUUAGCAGUCUGGAUCAAACAUGGACGUGUGCGCUAGUGUUCCAUUGUACUGCAUCAUUCAUUUGCCCAGCAUAUAACUUUUGAGGGUGUAUUUGAGUUCCAUUUUUGUUUUCAAAUCACUGGCAUUAGAGCUGUUGGUAAGUAACAAAUUUUUGACUCGUUUUAGAUGGUGGAAGGGGUGUAGACAGUGGAGGAUCCCUGACUAAGUGCAAUCUCUGCAAUUAUGUCACUUGGAGCCUGCAAAACUUGCGUGGUCAUAUGGUGGUGCAUACGCACGAGAGACCGUUCACGUGUCCAGCGUGCCACAGAGCAUUUGCACGCAAAAGCGACCUCAAGCGGCACACACGUUGCCACACCGGCGAAAGACCCUUUCAGUGUCACCGCUGUGGACAGGGAUUUGCACAGUCUUACAAUCUCCGUAUUCAUCAGAAGGACGUGGCAAAGUGUAAAAGGAUUCUGCUCAGUCGAGCAUACGCAUUGUGAUCCGUGCAAACACACUUCAUACUAGCUCAUGCUGGCGAGUUUCACUGGCCAUGAAGGAACUUUGUGCCUGAUCUGCUACAACUGAUUUAUCUGUAUGUGUACUUGAAGGCAAUUGCGUAUGUAUUGCAUAAUUUCUUGUGUGUUCCACACUGCAAAAAAUUGUCAACUGGCAACUGCUCUGGAGGACCUUUAGUUUCCAUGAGCCAGUCAAAAUCUAGUUUUUAUGGAAAUGUCAAAAUAAAUGAAAACUGAGUUCACAGUAGCUGUCACUCAGUCAAUGCCUGCAGUA